AAUGAACGCUGGCGGCGUGGAUAAGACAUGCAAGUCGAACGGAGAAACUAAUAGUUUACUAGGAGUUUCUUAGUGGCGGACGGGUUAGUAACACGUGAGUUACCUGCCUCAAAGUGGGGGAUAGCCUUCCGAAAGGAAGAUUAAUACCGCAUGUGGUCUUCGGACCAAAGAUGCCUUCGGGUGUCGCUUUGAGAUGGACUCGCGGCCUAUCAGCUAGUUGGUGAGGUAACGGCUCACCAAGGCAACGACGGGUGGCUGUUCUGAGAGGAAGAUCAGCAACACUGGAACUGAGACACGGUCCAGACACCUACGGGUGGCAGCAGUCGAGAAUCAUUCACAAUGGACGAAAGUCUGAUGGUGCAACGCCGCGUGGAGGAUGAAGGCCCUAGGGUCGUAAACUCCUGUCAUAUAAGAGUAAGACAUGAUUGGUUAAUACCCAGCCAUGUUUGAUAGUAUUAUAAGAGGAAGGGACGGCUAACUUCGUGCCAGCAGCCGCGGUAAUACGAAGGUCCCAAGCGUUAUUCGGAAUCACUGGGCGUAAAGAGUACGUAGGCGGUUUGGUAAGUCAGGUGUGAAAUCCCGAAGCUCAACUUCGGAACUGCAUCCGAUACUGCCAGACUUGAGUAAUGGCGAGGCAGGUGGAAUUCUCGGUGUAGCAGUGAAAUGCGUGGAUAUCGAGAGGAAGACCAAUGGCGAAGGCAGCCUGCUGGACAUUUACUGACGCUGAGGUACGAAGGCUAGGGGAGCGAAAGGGAUUAGAUACCCCUGUAGUCCUAGCAGUAAACGGUGCGCGCUUGGUGUAGGAGGACUCGACCCCUUCUGUGCCGGAGCUAACGCGUUAAGCGCGCCGCCUGGGGAGUACGGUCGCAAGACUAAAACUCAAAGAAAUUGACGG
rnacentral:rRNA from 1 species